rnacentral:tRNA from 1 species
UGCCGGGUGGUGUAAUUUUGGUAACACGUCGCGCUCUGGACGCGAAGAUUCCAGGUUCGAUUCCUGGCCCGGCAG